GAUGAACGCUGGCGGCGUGCUUAACACAUGCAAGUCGAACGGAAAGGCUCCUGCUUGCAGGGGUACUCGAGUGGCGAACGGGUGAGUAACACGUGGGUGAUCCGCCCUGCACUUCGGGAUAAGCCUGGGAAACUGGGUCUAAUACCGGAUAGGACGAUGGUUUGGAUGCCAUUGUGGAAAGUUUUUCGGUGUGGGAUGAGCUCGCGGCCUAUCAGCUUGUUGGUGGGGUAAUGGCCUACCAAGGCGUCGACGGGUAGCCGGCCUGAGAGGGUGUACGGCCACAUUGGGACUGAGAUACGGCCCAGACUCCUACGGGAGGCAGCAGUGGGGAAUAUUGCACAAUGGGCGCAAGCCUGAUGCAGCGACGCCGCGUGGGGGAUGACGGCCUUCGGGUUGUAAACUCCUUUCGCUAGGAACGAAGCGCAAGUGACGGUACCUGGAGAAGAAGCACCGGCUAACUACGUG
rnacentral:rRNA from 1 species